UUUAUCUUCUCUCCUGUACAUUGUUCUUCUUCACAAUCUGCAACGACAUUUUUAAUUAGGGUUUCUUAGUUCUGAGAGACAUCAUGGAGAUAUAUGGAAUGGUUACAGGAAAAGCAGGAAAGAGUGGAUACGGAUCAGCAUCAACAGCUGAAGAUGUCACUCACUCCAUUGAUGCCAAACAUCUCACUGCUAUCAUCACAGGUUCUUCUUUUCUUUUCCAUCUGAUAUCUUUUACUAAUCGUGAAAGAAAUAACAAAACAAAUCCAUUAUGGCCAUGGAGAAAACUAUCUUACGUUUCCCGUGACGUGAUCGACUUUUCUAUUCCGCCGAAAGGAUAAUAAUACUACUAAGUUUAUUCAAAUUUAGUAUAAACUCAGUGAAUGUAACAUGACAUAUUUUAUGGUGUGAUUGGUGUAGUAAGAGGAGGGAUAAUUUCCUCUGUGACCUACUCCCCCCAGUCUUCCUUUGCCAUCUCAGUGAGGAUUUUCUUUAGGUUUAUCAA
rnacentral:lncRNA from 1 species